rnacentral:miRNA from 1 species
GCAGACACAUUCCAGCCAAUCAGCAGCAGACCCUCCCUCCCAAACCCUCCCACCUCAUGGACAGCAUCCAUUUUACAUUCAUUGUGAAGCUGCAUUCUUAGUGAGCUGUCCAGGAGGUGGGAGGGUCUGGGAGGGAGGGUCUGCUGCUGAUUGGCUGGAAUGUGUCUG